UACGUAGGUGGCAAGCGUUGUCCGGAUUUAUUGGGGUUAAAGGGUGCGUAGGCGGCUUUGUAAGUCAGUGGUGAAAUAUGGCAGCUCAACUGUCAAGGUGCCAUUGAUACUGCAGAGCUUGAGUACAGAUGAGGUAGGCGGAAUUGACGGUGUAGCGGUGAAAUGCUUAGAUAUCGUCAAGAACACCUAUAGCGAAGGCAGCUUACUAGGCUGUAACUGACGCUGAGGCACGAAAGUGUGGGGAUCAAACAGG
rnacentral:rRNA from 1 species